AACGUUUUUGCAUUGAAAAUUUAAUUAAAAAUCAACUAUUUUCGAACUGUUUGCAAAACUUGGUUUAGAUACAAAAGACCAAGUGAAAAUGGUACUGGAAAGACUGUUUACUCCUGUCCCAAUCUAACCUAGUGGGUUUAAAAAGAAAGGACCGUGCUGGAAAAGUUAGAGGGUUAAAAAGAUUAGCUCUUUUUGAAUUAAUAGCCCAAGUCGUAACCAGCUUGUAUGAAAAGAUUUCCCGACGUGAAAUAGUUUUAUUCAACAAAAUUAUUUUAUUCAACAACGUCAAUAAUCAGAGCUCGCUUGAGAAACAGGAAAGAAAGAAAAAGAUGAAAUAAUAUU
rnacentral:lncRNA from 1 species